CCUCGAAAAAGAGUGUUAAACUGACUCUACAGCACUGUUGAAAGAGAUGCAAAUGAUGACCAGAAACCGGAAGAACUAUGGCAGGACGGAAAGCAUCAAGCGACAGGUGUGUGGGUCGCUUUUCAAAGGAAAUUUACACAAAAUGGAAAAUAGAAGCUACAGAGCUCAGUCCACUCCUCCUCCUGCUGUCCUCAUUUCAUCCAACUGCGCUACUCUGACGCCAGCGCAGACGAGGAGGAGGAGGAAGACGGGGGAUAGGAGUUCGUAAACUCUGCGAGAGCGACGGCAGAAAAACUCCCUAAACUCCCCCCUAUCCCGGCCCUCCUGGCCACUUCUCUUUUCCUUUCACUCCCCUCUUCCUCUCUCAACUUUUACUUUCACUGGCUGGUGUGGUUGGAUGCCAGAGGUAGACCCGGAGGAAUUCAUAACAAAGUGCUCUGUUGCCGAUU